AUUGAACGCUGGCGGCAGGCCUAACACAUGCAAGUCGAGCGAGCGGCGGACGGGUGAGUAAUGUCUGGGAAACUGCCUGAUGGAGGGGGAUAACUACUGGAAACGGUAGCUAAUACCGCAUACCCUCAGAUGUGCCCAGAUGGGAUUAGCUAGUAGGUGGGGUAACGGCUCAACUAGGCGACGAUCCCUAGCUGGUCUGAGAGGAUGACCAGCCAAACUGGAACUGAGAAAAGGUCCAGACGCCUACGGGAGGCAGCAGGGGGGAAUAGUGCACAAUGGGCGCAAGCCGGAUGCAGACAUGCCGCGGGUGUGAAGAAGGCCUUCGGGUUGUAAAGCACUGUCAGCGGGGAGGCGUUACCCGCAGAAGAAGCACCGGCUAACUCCGUGCCAGCAGCCGCGGUAAUUC
rnacentral:rRNA from 1 species